UGUAAGGCUGCCAUCGCCCGCAGUGACGCCGGUGAUUGUUACCGGAACAGAGCUUCAUGUGAUCAAUGAUGGUGGUGAGAUUGGAAUUGGCUUCAUAACUGGCCACAUGAGGUGAGAGGUGUGAGUAGAGGAGUUUCGUGAAGAGGCAAAUUGUUAAUUGCCAGACCUUUCCCAAAUCCAUCAAAUUCCGAACCCCAAAGCCCCCCUUUCUCUCUAAACACACACACACUCUCUACAAUGGCAGAAACCGAUACCCUCUGCUUCGCCACUCUUUCUUCUUCUCGCACUAAAGAAACCUUUCAUUCUCUCUCUCCCUCACCUCUCACUUUGCUCGCCAAUUUCUCUCUUCUUCACCGUCAAUUGCUCUCUUCCUUCGUCCAUUUCAGAGCAAAAGCUUCGAAUUCCGGCAAUUUCCUUGGCGACGAUCCGUUUGGAUUCUAUUCCUGGGAUUCUUCCAAUGAAGACAGUGCUGGGUUAUUCAAAUUCAAGAACACAUUUUGAAGACACAGGGCACAAUUAAAGAAGGGGGUAAAGAUGAGUCUUUUGUUCAAGACUUCAGAGAGAGGAAUGGGCUAGAUCAAAGGAGGAAAGAAGGAACAAGGCUAGACUAUAGGCAUUCCAUUUUCUCAAUCAUCUUCAUCAUCAUUGCAUCCUUGCACCACGUUCAUCAUCUUCAUAUGACAGUUCUGGCGUUCCAACGACCCAAAUUGCUAUGGGCCUUUGGUUUAUUUUGUUUAUGUUUUUUGAAUAAUGUAAAACCUUUACUGAAUAAUAUAAAGCUUGUACUUAAGGAGCGUAAAAUAGUCAUUGGACUCGUGUAAAACAUUCAUUGCACCAAUGUAAAAUAUUUUCUAAACAAUGUAAAACAUGUACUUAAGCAAAAUAAAUAAGUGUAAGGAAGUGAAUGCAA